rnacentral:rRNA from 1 species
GGCUUAGAAGCAGCCAUCCUUUAAAGAAAGCGUAAUAGCUCACUAGUCGAGUCGGUCUGCGCGGAAGAUGUAACGGGGCUAAACUAGUCACCGAAGCUGCGGAUUCAUCAUUUAUGAUGAGUGGUAGGGGAGCGUUCUGUAAGCCGUUGAAGGUGUGUUGUAAAGCAUGCUGGAGGUAUCAGAAGUGCGAAUGCUGACAUGAGUAACGAUAAGGGGAGUGAAAAACUCCCCCGCCGAAAGACCAAGGUUUCCUGUCCCAUGUUAAUCAGGGCAGGGUAAGUCGGCCCCUAAGGCGAGGCGGAAACGCGUAGUCGAUGGGAAACAGAUUAAUAUUUCUGUACUUCUAUAUAUUGCGAAGGAGGGACGGAGUAGGCUAGGUGAGCACGGCGUUGGUAGUCCGUGUGAAAGUAUGUAGGCGGUUGACUUAGGUAAAUCCGGGUCUUCAUUAACGCUGAGAUACGAGACGAGAUUCUACGGAAUUGAAGUCAUUGAUGCCAUGCUUCCAGGAAAAGCUUCUAAGCUUCAGAUAUAUAGGAACCGUACCCCAAACCGACACAGGUGGUUAGGUAGAGAAUACUAAGGCGCUUGAGAGAACUCGGGUGAAGGAACUAGGCAAAAUAGUACCGUAACUUCGGGAGAAGGUACGCUCUCUAAUGUGAAUGACUUGCUCAGUAAGCAUCGGAGAGUCGAAGUAACCAGGUGGCUGGAACUGUUUAUUAAAAACACAGCACUGUGCAAAAUCGAAAGAUGACGUAUACGGUGUGACGCCUGCCCGGUGCCGGAAGGUUAAUUGAUUGGGUUAGCUCUGCGAAGCUCAUGAUCGAAGCCCCGGUAAACGGCGGCCGUAACUAUAACGGUCCUAAGGUAGCGAAAUUCCUUGUCGGGUAAGUUCCGACCUGCACGAAUGGCGUAAUCAUGGCCACACUGUCUCCACCCGAGACUCAGUGAAAUUGAAAUUGCGGUUAAGAUGCCGUAUACCCGCGGCUAGACGGAAAGACCCCGUGAACCUUUACUAUAGCUUGACAGUGAACAUUGCUCCUACAUGUGUAGGAUAGGUGGGAGGCUUUGAAACUUUGUCGCCAGAUGAAGUGGAGCCAACCUUGAAAUACCACCCUUGUAUGCGUGAUGUUCUAACCUAGGGCCCUAAUCGGGCUUGGGGACACUGUCUGGUGGGUAGUUUGACUGGGGCGGUCUCCUCCUAAAGAGUAACGGAGGAGCACGAAGGUUGGCUAAGUACGGUCGGACAUCGUACGGUUAGUGCAAUGGCAUAAGCCAGCUUAACUGCGAGACAGACACGUCGAGCAGGUACGAAAGUAGGUCAUAGUGAUCCGGUGGUUCUGUAUGGAAGGGCCAUCGCUCAACGGAUAAAAGGUACUC